rnacentral:rRNA from 1 species
UAGGGAAUAUUGCUCAAUGGGCGAAAGCCUGAAGCAGCAACGCCGCGUGCGCGAUGAAGGUCUUCGGAUCGUAAAGCGCUUUUCUGCGAGAUGAGAAAGGACAGUAUCGUAGGAAUAAGUCUCGGCUAACUACGUGCCAGCAGCCGCGGUAACACGUAGGAGGCGAGCGUUAUCCGGAUUCACUGGGCGUAAAGCGCGUGCAGGCGGUUUGGUAAGUUGGGCGUGAAAGCUCCCGGCUCAACUGGGAGAGGUCGUUCAAUACUACCAGACUAGAGAGCAGAAGAGGAAGAUGGAAUUCCCGGUGUAGUGGUGAAAUGCGUAGAUAUCGGGAGGAACACCAGUGGCGAAGGCGAUCUUCUGGUCUGUUUCUGACGCUCAGACGCGACAGCUAGGGUAGUAA